UAUCAUGGCUCAGGACGAACGCUGGCGGCGCGCCUAACACAUGCAAGUCGAACGAGCGAGAGAGAGCUUGCUUUCUCAAGCGAGUGGCGAACGGGUGAGUAACGCGUGAGGAACCUGCCUCAAAGAGGGGGACAACAGUUGGAAACGACUGCUAAUACCGCAUAAGCCCACGACCCGGCAUCGGGUAGAGGGAAAAGGAACAAUCCGCUUUGAGAUGGCCUCGCGUCCGAUUAGCUAGUUGGUG
rnacentral:rRNA from 1 species